rnacentral:misc_RNA from 1 species
CAAGUGUCUUUUGUUUCAUUCGGCAAUUCAUAUUCCGGAAGUGAUAAACAAUACCAACUAGUACUCUCGUGAUGACACUGGAAAACAAUUAACCUCUUCGUUCUCGCGUGCUUCUUAUGGUACACUUUUUUUCAUCACUCCAACGCGUCCGAUAAAAAUCCGUAUUUUCAGCAGAUCAAUACGACCAAAUCUUCCAUUUAGAACUUACGAACGCAUUGAGAAAUGCACUCAAUUAUCUAUCAUAUGUGCAACAUGACACGUCGUUUUUAGGUUAAGGGUCUCUCGUGCUUUUCGUACGACAGUCUUCUGCUAGAUAAUCAGCGCCACUCGCGCAACCCGCGUAACUUCAGAAUCGCGUAUCGUCAUCGACGAGGCGCCUGUUAUUGUCGAAACCGCGUGAAAUAUUAUUGAUGCCGCAAGACGAGUAUUUCUCGAGCAAUUCCGAAUUUUAUUCGCACGACGCUGUUUUCUCACAAGCGUCGAGUCGCGCACUUGACUCGCGCGUUGACGCUGCUGACUUCCGGUGGAGACAAGCCCAUGUGGACGAUUGCAGCGAGUAUCUUAGUCAGUUCGUGAUCAGCGUGUUUUUGGUGCGCUACUUUUAUCACGCACGUUAAAGAUCUUGCGGUUAUUCGUGUUACUUCGGAUUCUGUUGCGUCGCCAUGGCGGACCUAGAUGAUUUCUUUGCUAAAAAGGAUCGUAAGAAGGCUAAGGGCAAGAAGUUCACCACGACUGAUGAGGUCGCCAAGAAGCUGGAAGAGGGCAAGCGACUUGAGAAGCCCAAGCCGAAGGAGAAACCAGCGAAUCCCGAGGGCGAAGAGUCUCAGCAGACCGAGGAUGAGGAUGAGUGGAAGGAAUUUGAGGAAGAGAAGAAGGAUUACAGUGGUUUGAAGAUUGGACAUUUGACAGUAAACGACAGUCUCGAUGCUGAAUCUGACGAUGAGAGAGGCACUGGUGAGAAUAGUUCAGACGGAGAAUCUGGAGAAGGUGGCACAAAACAUUCGGGACCAUGGAAGAAGCCAGAUCUCCCACCGGAAGCACCAGAAGUAACGGCGCCGCCGGCACCACCACCGUCUACCGGUGGAAAUACCGGAACCAGCGGCGGUGGUGGUGGUGGUGGCGGCGGCGGCGGCGGCGGCGGCGGCGGCGGCGGCGGUGGUGGUGGUGGAGGUGGAAGUUACAAAGCACCGCAUUUAAGAAAUCAACCUGCUUUCCCUAGUCCACGACUGCGAGGCAGGAAUGUCGCGCCUGAUAUACAUAGCGAAGAAUACUUCCCCACCCUGAAUUCCAAGCCUCAGCCAAAUAAUAACGGCAGUAGUCCAUGGGGAAGACGGCGGCGAGAUGAAGGAGUAUUCGAGGAAGUUCGCAACCGCGGUGGCAGCAGAUCGUAUAAUGUACAGGACUCGCAAGCUCAAGCGCCCAAGCUUUCUCUGGGUAACAAAUAUGGCGCUCUGUCGCAAGAUCAAAGCUGAAAACACCUAUCCCGAUCAAAUCAAACGACAUGCAAUCAAUAUCACAUCGUCGCCGCUCUCCGUUUCGUGGCCCAGCUGCGCCGGGAAAAUCUAUUUUCUAGACUAGGAUCCAACGUGUAUCAUAGUAUGCGUAUGCACGUACACACGCCCCCCCCGUUCUGCAAAGUUCGGGGAUGCUAAUUCCGGUUCUCAUCGACGGUUUUACAGUGAUCGCGCGGUGGAUCGUCGAAUCUAGGUAUCUGCACGUGCGCCCAUGGACCAUGUAACUCAAAAUGAAUAUCGUGCAUGUAUGCAAGCUUAUUUUCAUAUCGUGUAAACACGUGGUUGGAAGUCAAGUUUUAUAUUUCAUUUUGUAAUCAGCAUAGUGUAUAGUAUGCUACUUCCAGAAGAGUGUCAGGGCGGCAGAAGGAUGCCAAGCGUUUCGACGCUGAGUGAAAUCCUCCGAAUGGUGAAUUGGAAUGACGUUGUCGACGCGAAUAGGCGCAUCAUUAGGCGAAUUGUAGUCUAAAAAGAUUGUUCGUUAAAGUAUUUUAUGUGGUAUUCACACUUUUUUUUUAUACGGUGCUACGUUUGGUUUAGCGUGCAUACUUACUGCCACGAUCGAUGCCUUCUCAUUGAGUAUUAUCGGUAUAGAUAGGACAGAUCGCGUUGGCAUCCGAACACGAUAAACCCUCGAGAUCGGUGUGUCAACACCGCAAUAUCGAAAAAUUAUAUAAUUAAUCUUAGCAGUUCCAUGAGAACUAUUCUCAAACCACUUUCAAAUGGUUACGAGAUGCUUCUUGGGCUCUCUCUAUCUCCACUUUCGAGGGAGAGUGUCGCUUCGCUCAAAAUGGCAACGUGCGUCAACGAAGGGAAAUUUCUAGGUAAAUUAAUUAAGAUAUAUAUGUAUAUACUAUUAACAUCUACUAAUAAUGCAAAGACUUACAUAGGAUUUUCGUUAUACACGCUCGUCGAUUUCAAUCAUCGUUAUUUCUUUGGGCAAAAGAAUAAUAAACAUGAAUGUGAAACGCGACGAACGUUGUCGCGAGACAAAUGUACGUAGUCUAUACAAUCUAAUGAGAGAUAUAUCUGCAUGCACUCGUGUUGAGUAAAGAAAAUCCUAUGUACGACUUUCUUAACGAUUAUAUACUUUUUGUUGAUGUAAGAGUUUCUUUCUCGAGACGAAGAGUGCAGCGCAUAGAUAUCAAAUCCGUUUCUUCAGAAACGGUUUCUCAUUGUUGGCAAAUUCUUCCCGGCGGGAAAACGCGUGUUGUUUUCGGGGCACAAUGAAGAGAAUGCCAUACGGAAACGGAUAACUCGUAUGUACUGCCUCUGAGCAUUUUUGAUUUGCCGUACUGUACAUCAUCGAUCAUACCGAUUCCCGAAGCAAAGAGAAGCGUAGCGCUCGGAUUACUCGCACGCAUGCGGGCCGAUCGUCUUUCUGGGAGCGCAAUCUGCGCCGUAAACACACGGGACUUCGGAUAAACAACGCAUUGUAACGCCAGGAGAAAUUGAAUUCAAGCAGGCGGAAACGCAACACCGGUGCCUCUCGAGAAUAGUUUCGAAUUGAUUUUGGUCGCCGCGGCGACACGGACUAGCCUGCCCUUUGUUACAGAAUAGUUGAGAUACAAUAAUUUUAUCGCUACUGUUACACAUGAGAGCGAGCGAUAGAAUGACAGGAAGUGAGAGUACGCGAAAGUGUGGGGUGCGAGCGUAUAUACGUGGCGUAUAUAUUUAAUAAAACUCAAUCACAAGAUA